UGGGUGCAGAAAAGGAGUAAGUGGGUGGCUGUCAAAGGAAUUAAGUCCCACGGUUUUGAGGCCACAUGAAGACACAGGAACCAGAAAUUGCAAUUGCAGAAAGUGCUUAGGGUUUGGGUCGAGUCUGAGGCUUGAAAUGAUUGGAAAAGCUCUAGAAAAUAUGGUGUAAUAAGUAGACUAAAAAGUUGAGAGAAUCCUUUGUUAGACAAGUCCAGGGGUUGGAGGCAGCUGGGAGGAGUGUACAGGGCAGAGGGCCAGAGUUCAGGUCCUGGAUUUGCCCCUCAUUAGCUCUAUGGCCUUGGAUAAGUCAUGUAUUUUCCUCUCUCUGGCUAUUAAUUGCCUAUUUGUUUUCUGCCCUCCUUGCUCUGCUCAGUGUCUCAGGAAACCGCAUUUCCCAGCUUCCAAAUAGGCCUGCCCGCUGCAUGGUGCUAGUAGGAGACUGGGUGAGGGAAAGGAAGCCAGGACGUCCGCCACCUGCAACCCCACUGAACCUUCUUCCUCAAGGGUCCAAGCUUCUGGCUAGCUGGGUCUUCCUCCAGCCAGAAGGCCUGGAAAUGGCAGCAAUUUCAAGUUUGUUACUACUCUAGGUUACUACUUCCGCUCUUCCAUCACCUUGGGAUGAGGUCCCUGUGUUAAGUUCCUUCUGUUGGAAGUGCUGGAGUGGGUUUUGUUUCCUUGACUGAGACGCUUGUCUGUCCGAUGGCACUGGUAUUGCCUACCUCCCAGAGUUCCUGUGAGAUGGAUGUGUCGUUGUGGUGUGGGGAGAAGGAAGGAAGAAAUGCUCUCCUGGACCCUGGGUUCUGUGAGACACAGUUUAAUAGUCUGAGGAUGAAAGAACACCUAGAUGCAGUUCCCUCCCUCAAGUUUUCCAAAUUGACACUACUGCACUUUUUCAUGUGGCCCAGAGGAUCCUCCUUUCUGCCCUGGAUGAAGAGGACAACGUUUCUUAGUUCCACUGACGUGAGAUUGACUAUUAUAAGGAAGAUGCGCCUUAUUUUGGAUAUUGCAAGGAAAGACUUGAAAAAAAAAACUUGACUGACCAUCGUAUGAUGCACUUUCCUCCUCUCUCUUAACCCAUAAUUUCUAUGCUUCAAAUUAC
rnacentral:lncRNA from 1 species